rnacentral:lncRNA from 1 species
UUUUUGGAAGUAAAAAAGAGUCUUGCUUUGAAGACGGGCAGGUGCAGAUUGCAGUCCUUGUUGACUUCAGUUUUGAGCUCGGGAACACAAGGACACUUUUCAUGAAACCCUUACAAUAUGUCCACAAGACAGAGCACCCCAGCCGACCACGUUACCCACAAAUCCAGAGUCGUGAGAUGACCAAAACACAUACUCGAAGACAAAGUGGGACACAUAAGCAAAGGAAGCUAGACUAAUGCAGAGCCGAAGACCAAGAGGGGCCACAGCAACGAUCAAGGGAACGCAUCUAAAUCUUCUCCAAUCAGAAGCAUAAAUCCUCCUUUGACUGAUUUUACGACCUGAAUGAUUGGGGGCAAUUAGAGCUGCUAAACAGACGAGCAUUCCUUUCUCUCCGAAUAGGCCAGACGACCAUCAUUGUACAUACCCCAUCUUCACUCUUUUGAGCCAUACAUCACGAUGUUAUGGAACAAUAAGUAUUUGGCCGACCCGAAACUCAUGGACCAAGUAGUAGAAAGCACCGACUAGAGAGCAAAUACACCUACCUGGACGUAGCAAAUACACAACUAUGACAACGCAAACUGUUUAGGAACAAUGUAAGUUGGGUGAAGCUGGGUUUUGUGGGUAACGUGGUCGGCUGGGGUGCUCUGUCUUGUGAACAUAUUGUAACGGUUUCAUGGAAAGUAACUCAAAUGAGCUAGGUAAACAGUAAAAUAAGAAAAAUCAAACAAAUCUGAAUUUGUUUUAAACAACAUUGACAAAAGAGUUCUAAGUGCGGGCAAAAAUUUGGCUUUAAAUAACAUUCCUAUAAGGCGUGGUAAAAAUAAUAAUUGAUAAAAAUACGCAUUUUUGAAGUAUCGAUUUUGUUUUUUUGCCACGCCUUAUAGAAAUGUUAUUUGAAGCCGAAUUUUUGCACGAAUUUACAACUUUUGUCAACGUUGUUCAAAAAAAUUGCUUUUUUUAAUUUUACUGUUCACCAAGCUCAUUUGAGCUCGUGAGAAGAAACUCUACGUCCCGGUUUCAUCUGCUUUUUCGCAUAUUAAUCGGAUGACUCUCAUCUAUUUUCCCCAAAUAAACUGUGACCUAAGGGGCUGACUUUAGAAAAGUUGAGUGAAGCUCACAUUCGAUGCUAUUUAAUGGAAAUAAUCACUUCUAGCUUCUUUUCCUUAUUCAUUCUUAUCCCUUGAGAUCCUUUUAGCUAAAAAAAGUUUUCGCCCGCUUUAUAUAUAAAGCAAUGAUCAACAACAUCCAGUACAAACGCGCACACACACCUAAGGGAGAAUACAUAGGCGAUGAACGCAGGAACACCAUCCCUAGCACUACAAGAGCAGUCGGGGGCCCAACCAUGAACAUGCCACGGUGAAGAAAUGAAGUCGCAUAUGACGAAUCGUGGAUUUUAAGGCGACGCCUUUAGGAAGGAUACGACACCAGAGCGCUUCCACCGCCCGAUUCGCGGAUCAGAGUAUCCCCUAGAGCAACACGACGGGCAAUGAGAGCCGCGAUGACGCCUUUAAGAAGGGAACGAACUUCGCCACCGCCGGUCCAUCCGAAGAUAGGGCGCGUUUUCACCCUGGCCAACACUCACCGCCACCGGAUGCCACACCCCGGCUACCACGUCAGCCACACGGCGGAAACAGAGGGAAACAUGAUCUGCUCAUGAGCACCGCGCNNNNNNNNNNNNNNNNNNNNNNNNNNNNNNNNNNNNNNNNNNNNNNNNNNNNNNNNNNNNNNNNNNNNNNNNNNNNNNNNNNNNNNNNNNNNNNNNNNNNUGCAGCGCGCUGGCAACGGCGCCGCCAGCACCCAGCCGCUCGUCACCGCUCCCCGACUCCCGGAAGUUCCGCCGCAGACCCGCUCCGCCGUUGGCCCGCCCAGGCCCAGAUCUGGGUCGGGAGGCCACCCUCAGAUCGCGCCGCAACGUCCCCCCGCAGCCAACAACGACGUCGCCGCCCAGCCGUCUGCCCACGACGCGCCAGGGAGCCCCGCCGUCACCUAGGAGCACCCCUUGGUGCAGCUCUGCCCUGCGUCGGAGAGCCACCGGGAGGGGAAGGGCAAACCCGGGGCCAGGCUGGCCGCGGGUGCUAGCGACGGCGACGGAGAGGAGAGGGAGAGGGUGGUGCUCGAGGAAGGGGGAGGUUGGCCGCGGUCGGUCGCCCGCGGGAGAGGAGAGGGGGGACACAGUUCUAACGAUACACAAUGUGCUAGUGUUUAUGAUCUAACAUAUAUUGCGAAAGUCAGGACUUGAACUUAAGAUCUUAGCUCUGAUACCAUGUUAAGCUUCAUGCACUAGCCAACGCAACCAAAAGUCCGAACUGAUGAAAAGGACUAGUACAAUUCACAUAUAUUGUAACAUUUAUUACAUAAACUGGACUUGUUUUGGAAGUGGAGAUUUCCCCUAUUAUGUGGAAACCAAACUAUUUAACAUGGAUUUUCUUUGAAACUAAUCGACCUUUGCCACAGAAAGAAGGUGUUGCCUUACAAACCGAAUCAAAUUCAUGGAUUUACAACGACCUGGGUUGUGACUCCAUAGAUAAAAAUAGAAAAUUUCUCUCUUCAAGACCAUUGAAAAAGGGUCUAAAAAUUGUAUCAGCUUUUGGUAUGGUCUAUCUAAUUAAAAGAUGGAUUGAUGUUGUGUGUCAUACCGAACUGAUAUUGUGAGCCAUAGCAUGGAUUUUAUUACCUGAAAGUCCAACCACAUGACAUGCCACAAAAACAUGAAAUGAGCUUUUGGAAAGACGAUUUAUCACUUUACCUAGUUUGUGCUUCCACUAGUCGGCAGUCGACACGCUUAGAAACUUCUGGGUGCCUGCAGAUUUGCAAAAGCAAUGACUAACAGAUACAUAUAUUGCAAAAAAAACAGAGGAUAAUCACUUUUAUUAGAUGAAAUAAACAGAUCAAUUUACAUAAGCCUCACUUCUCCAAACAGUAUUCAGGACCAUGAUAAAACCGAUUACGUAGCUCUGUUUUGGAAGAUCCAAAUCCUCAAGUUGAGUUUCAUUAAUUGGAAUCGAUUGUAUGCUAAACACGAUGAACAAAUGGUGGGUUACGUGGCAUAGCAUACAACUAUUCCCCUAUUAUUCUGCAUGCAUGAUCUGAAUCGGACUCCUUCCUAGUUCCUAGUUGGCUCUGCUUUGAACUUUCAUCCACAUCUCUUUGAGUUAUUAUUAACAGACGCAAGAAACAUUUUUUUGCGCUAAGCCAAGGUGAGGCAAGGUCGCAUUGGAGGACUGAUGGACUGGCUUCGAUGGAUUAUGAUAUACUCGGUUUUGCCUGUUUGACUGUUACGUUUUUCUAAUUUUGUGGUUAGGAAUUUUUCGCCGCAGAGUAUAGAAUAACUAAGCUCAACACAAACAAUUUAGCAAGCACAUUAAACUGGGAUCGUAGGAGCGCACCUGGAUUUUGUUGGUUGAUGGUGGAUGAAAUGGGUGAAUUUAAUAACUGAUAUAGUGUCAGUGCAACGGAAGCCCAUUUUUCAUACAAGUUAUUAAUAUUGUCAACAUUUGUCAACAAACAAAUGUUUAACUCAGGUUUGCAAUUAUGAAGCCGCAAUUAUAAGAAGGGGAUAUUAUGAUGGCGUGAGCAAGUGAUAAGGCCAAGGGGAGAAGAAGUGCAGCAUCUACGCAGCCCAGUGAAAGAUAGUGAAAAUACAGAGAGGCAGGGACGGGGGAGCAACACAUGGAAAUCAUAGAAGAACAAAAGAGUUUAAACAUAGGAGGCAGAUAUAAUGGACAGCUAAAUCUGCAUUAUCUCAUUUGGGAAAUGAAAAAAAAAAUCCUAUUCUUGUGUAAAUCAAAACUAUUUGCCGCGAAUUUUCUUCGAAGAUCCUGUGUUAAUUUUAGACACGGCUGACCAAAGGUUUUCAAUUAGUUGAGUUUUGUCACGGAAAGGUGUUUCCAUACAUCCAAAAAUUCUAAAAACUUUUGAUACGGCGCGUUCGUAGCAUAGAUAGAUGUUGUGAGUCACUGGAUAGAUAUUGUGAGUCAUAUCGUGGAUUUGUGUUGCCUGCAAAUCCAACUACAUGACAAGCAACAAAUGAGCUUUUGGAAAGAUGAUUUCUCAAUUUACCAGUUCCAUGCAAGCUACCUUCCACUACUCGACAUGCUUAAAAGCUUCGAGUGCCCGCCGAUUUGCCAGCAAUGGCUAACAGACACAUAUUCUGCCAAAACCCCAGAACAAUAAUCACUUCUCGUAGAUGAAGAGAACAGACCAAGAUACAAACGUCCACGCUUCAGCAAACAGUACCCCAGAACUAGGAUUAAGCCGAUUACGCGGCUUUAGCAGACCGUCCAAAAAAACUGUUUUGCAAAGCUCCAAUUCCUCCUUGCUUAUCCAAUUUCUUUUGUGUUGGCAAACUGCACUUUUCCAACCGAUUUUAUUCUUCCCGUGUUUCUUCUUAGGCUAACUAACACAGCCGUGCACAUAGCCAUGGUCCGGAACCUUCACCUCGUCCCUAUAAAAGCCCAGCCAAUCUCCACAAUCUCAUCAUCACCGAGAACACCGAGAACCACAAAACUAGAGAUCAAUUCAUUGACAGUCCACCGAGAUGGCUAAGCGGCUGGUCCUCUUUGUGGCGGUAAUCGUCGCCCUCGUGGCUCUCACCACCGCUGAACGUGAGAUCAAUGGGAACAACAUUUUCCUUGAUAGCCGCUCUAGGCAGCUACAGUGUGAGCGCGAGCUCCAGGAGAGCUCGCUCGAGGCGUGCCGGCGGGUCGUGGACCAACAGCUGGUUGGCCAGCUGCCAUGGAGCACGGGGCUCCAGAUGCAGUGCUGCCAGCAGCUUCGGGACGUCAGCCCCGAGUGCCGCCCCGUCGCCCUCAGCCAGGUCGUGAGGCAAUACGAGCAGCAAACCGAGGUGCCAUCCAAGGGAGGAUCCUUCUACCCGGGCGGGACCGCACCGCCGCUGCAGCAAGGAGGAUGGUGGGGAACCUCUGUAAAAUGGUACUACCCAGACCAAACUUCUUCGCAACAGUCAUGGCAAGGGCAACAAGGGUACCACCAAAGCGUAACUUCUUCCCAGCAGCCAGGACAAGGGCAGCAAGGGUCCUACCCAGGUUCAACUUUCCCGCAGCAGCCAGGACAAGGACAACAACCAGGACAGAGGCAGCCAUGGUCCUAUCCAAGUGCAACUUUCCCACAACAGCCAGGGCAAGGGCAAGGGCAACAAGGGUACUACCCAGGCGCAACUUCCCUGCUGCAGCCAGGACAAGGGCAACAAGGGCCCUACCAGAGUGCAACUUCUCCACAGCAGCCAGGACAAGGACAGGGACAACAAGAGCCCUAUCCAAUUGCAACUUCCCCGCAUCAGCCAGGACAAUGGCAACAACCAGGACAAGGGCAACAAGGGUACUACCCAAGUGUAACUUCUCCACAACAGUCGGGACAAGGGCAACAAGGGUACCCAAGUACAACUUCUCCACAACAAUCGGGGCAAGGGCAACAGCUGGGACAAGGGCAACAACCAGGACAAGGGCAACAAGGGUACCCAAGUGCAACUUUUCCACAACAGCCAGGACAAUGGCAACAAGGGUCCUACCCAAGUACAACUUCUCCGCAGCAGUCAGGACAAGGGCAACAAGGGUACAACCCAAGUGGAACUUCUACGCAGCAGCCGGGACAAGUGCAACAGUUGGGACAAGGGCAACAAGGGUACUACCCAAUUGCAACUUCUCCGCAGCAGCCAGGACAAGGGCAACAGCUAGGACAAGGGCAACAACCAGGACAUGGGCAACAGCUAGUGCAAGGGCAACAACAAGGACAAGGGCAACAAGGACACUACCCAAGUAUGACUUCUCCGCACCAAACAGGACAAGGGCAAAAAGGAUACUACCCAAGUGCAAUUUCUCCGCAGCAGUCAGGACAAGGACAACAAGGAUACCAGCCUAGUGGAGCUUCUUCACAGGGGUCGGUGCAAGGGGCGUGCCAGCACAGCACAUCUUCUCCGCAGCAGCAAGCACAAGGGUGCCAAGCUUCUUCACCAAAGCAAGGGCUAGGGUCGUUGUACUACCCGAGUGGAGCUUAUACACAACAGAAACCAGGGCAAGGGUACAACCCAGGUGGAACUUCUCCGCUGCACCAGCAAGGGGGAGGGUUCGGCGGCGGGUUAACGACGGAGCAACCGCAGGGAGGAAAGCAGCCAUUCCAUUGCCAGCAAACCACUGUCUCCCCUCACCAGGGUCAGCAAACCACUGUCUCCCCUCAUCAGGGUCAGCAAACCACUGUCUCCCCUCAUCAGGGUCAGCAAACCACGGUCUCCCCUCACCAGGGUCAGCAAACCACCGUCUCCCCUCACCAGGGUCAGCAAACCACCGUCUCCCCUCAUCAGGGUCAGCAAACCACUGUCUCCCCUCAUCCGGGUNNNNNNNNNNNNNNNNNNNNNNNNNNNNNNNNNNNNNNNNNNNNNNNNNNNNNNNNNNNNNNNNNNNNNNNNNNNNNNNNNNNNNNNNNNNNNNNNNNNNGAAAAGAACUUGCAUCACAUCCAUUGUCCAUCCCUCCCGUGGCAGCGGGGUCCUAAUGGAAACUAAGGGAUAUUAAGGUCUCCUUUUAAUAGAGAUCUGGAACAAAGCAUUAGCACUUAGUGAAUACAUGAACUCCUCAAACUAUGGUCAUCUUCGGGAGUGGUUCCGGCUAUUGUCACUCCGGGGUUGCCGGGUCAUAACACAUAGUAGGUGAUUACAACUUGCAAGAUAGGAUCAAUAACACACAUAUGUUGAUGAAAACAUAAUAGGUUCAGAUCUGAAAUCAUUGCAUUCAGGCCCUAGUGACAAGCAUUAAGCAUAGCAAAGUAGUAGCAACAUCAAUCUCGGAACAUAGUGGAUACUAGGGAUCAAACCCCAUCAAAACUAACUCGAUUACAUGAUAGAUCUCAUCCAACCCAUCACCGUCCAGCAAGCCUACGAUGAGAUUACUCACGAACGAUGAAGAGCAUCAUGGAAUUGGCGAUGAAGGAUGGUUGGUGAUGACGACGACGACGAUUUCCCCUCUUCGGAGCCCAGAACGGACUCCAGAUCUGCCCUNNNNNNNNNNNNNNNNNNNNNNNNNNNNNNNNNNNNNNNNNNNNNNNNNNNNNNNNNNNNNNNNNNNNNNNNNNNNNNNNNNNNNNNNNNNNNNNNNNNNUCACGGGAGCGGCGGAGUGCAAUGCAGACCGUCAUUGCCUCCUCCAGCCCGCACGGGAUGACACCCGAGUCGACGGAUACAGAUUGGUCGGAGUCAGAUCCGAUGCCCUUCAUACCAGAGAAGGACGGAUAUUGUUGGAGGUGAGCUUGGGUGGCGGCUGAGAAUGAAGGAGAGUGAAAUGAAGUGGUUAAGUUUUGAUCCGAUAGCGGAUGGGGACGAAUAUAUGUGAGAUCGAUGCGGGCCAACGCAGGCCAGGCCGUUGUGGCAGGCCACAGGCGUUCCCGGACGCCCCCAUAUCCGCCUCAUAUUUGGGCUGGAUGUGGGGGUGCCGGUCAGCCGGGCCGUUUGAGGCCCGUUUGAGGUGUCUAGUUGGGUCGAAAUUUCAUGACAUAGAGGCAUAUCCGGGCAUUUAAAAUAGAUAGAAGGGGUCUGGUUAUAGAUGUUUUUAUAUCACGUUAUUAAUCACCGGUGGAUCCCAUAUCCUUUAUCUCACAUGUCUUCAAAAUUAUUCGGAGAAGACCGUGUGUAAAGUUGGUGAGAUGUGCACAUGCUGAUAACUAGACCACGUACAGGUCAGCACCGAGUGGGUUAGCAAAGAAACGCAUGAAAGGCAAGUUCGUCAUUCGUGCAUAUCCAUCCAUCCAUCCAUCCACCUCCAACCACACUGCCCCGGGCUUUCCGGCAGCGCAUAGCAUAGCAUCCCUUCAGUUUGCGCUUUCUGUUGCAACGCAUCGGAUCCACACAUACACUCAUGGCACACGCUGUCGCCAGGAGCGAGCACCUUUCCGCCGACCUCAAAUACAACGACAACAUAUGCACGCACGUACUCCUACUACGAGCACUUCGAAUUUGAAUGGACGCAGUUCGAAAUUUGUGGAGAUACAAUACGCGUCAGCUCAUGGGGAUCGAAGAGGUCGGUCUCUCUCUCUCUAUCUCUCUCCAGCUACCGUCCACGGUCACCGAUUUCUACGCCUAGCACACAUGUGCGUGGUCUCGCGCGAUGCGCCGUGUUCGGGGGGCAGGGAUGAGCUAGGCAUGUACGUACUCCUGUGAGUCGCAUGGAGCAACGGGAAGAAGGUUAACCGAGAGUGGGGCGGCAAGGUGCCGCGCGCACGGCCGCUCGCAUAUUCCCUCUGUCAGCGGGUAGUGACAAAUGGGCGGGCACAUGGAGCUGUUCUCUUCCCCUGCGUUGCAAUACAACCAACCUUUGAAUAGAUACUAUUUAUUCUUUAUUGUUUGGAUUUUGAAUUUUGAAUCGAGCCUGGCGUCGUGCCACCCUCUUAAGAUUCUCCAGGCCUGGCCAGCUUGAUCGAUCAACAGAGUGAAUGGAUUGUUAUUAUUAGGAGAGGAUAUAUACUAGUAGUAGAAAGAUCUGCAGAAUAUCCUUUCACCGAUGAUAAUUAAUCGCAGCUUUAUGCUCGUCAGAACAAAAAAAAGAAGCAAAAUGAGAUAGCCAUAGGGGCUGCAAGUUGCAACCCAUGUCAAUGAACAUUUUUUUUUUUAAACGGAGGCAAAAAAUUUUUGCCUCAUCGAAGAAUUGUCGAGUUAAUUUAUAAAAGCUGGGCUAAAACCGAUACAAUCUAUACACCUAAUAAUAAAGAGGCUAUUGCUUCCGUUCAAAAACCCACCGCGACAUUUUUAUAAAAAAGCCCCUGUAAUUUUUGUUAUUCAACCCGCGCUUCAUCAUUUAUCUGCAACGCAAAAGGAAAAAACGAUUCGCUGCAUAAAUUAUACCCGUACGCAUCGGCUCCUCCCGUCGACCCUGGGUCACCCUGGCCUGUACCCAGGCCGCCGCCACACCACUCGCCGCCGAGGCCGACCUNNNNNNNNNNNNNNNNNNNNNNNNNNNNNNNNNNNNNNNNNNNNNNNNNNNNNNNNNNNNNNNNNNNNNNNNNNNNNNNNNNNNNNNNNNNNNNNNNNNNAUAUAAAUCUUUACCUACAGACCAUUCCGGAACUCCUCGUGACGUCCGGGAUCUCAUCCAUGACUCCAACAACCUUCAGUAACCACAUAUACGAUUCCCAUAACAACUCUAGCAUCAUCGAACCUUAAGUGUGUAGACCCUACGGGUUCGGGAACCAUGCAGACAUGACCGAGACAUCUCUUCGGCCAAUAACCAACAGCGGGGUCUGGAUAUCCAUGUUGGCUCCCACAUGUUCCACGAUGAUCUCAUCGGAUGAACCACGAUGUCGAGGAUUCACUCAAUCUCGUAUGCAAUUCCCUUUGUCUAUCGGCAUGACACUUGCUCGAGAUUCGCUCGGCGGUAUCCCUAUACCUUGUUCAAUCUCGUUACUAGCAAGUCUCUUUACUCGUUCCGUAACACAUCAUCACGUGGCUAACUCCUUAGUCACAUUGAGCUCAUUAUGAUGAUGCAUUACCGAGUGGGCCCAGAGAUACCUCUCCGUAACACGGAGCGACAAAUCCCAGUCUCAAUUCGUACCAACCCAACACACACUUUCGGAGAUACCUAUAGUGCACCUUUAUAAUCACCCAGUUACGUUCUGAUGUUUGAUACACCCAAAGCACUCCUACAGUAUCCGGAAGUUGCACAAUCUCAUGGUGUAAGGAAAUGAUACUUGACAUUAUAAAAGCUCUAGCGGACGAACUACAUGAUCUUGUGCUAUGCUUAGGAUUGGGUCUUGUCCAUCACAUCGUUCUUCUAAUGAUGUGAUCCCAUUAUUAAUGACAUCCAAUGUCCAUGGUCAAGAAACCAUAACCAUCUAUUGAUCAACGACCUAGCCAACUAGAGGCUCACUAGGGACAUGUUGUGGUCUAUGUAUUCACACAUGUAUUACGGUUUCCGGUUAAUACAAUUAUAGCAUGAAUAAUAGACAAUUAUCAUGAACAAGGAAAUAUAAUAAUAACCACUUUAUUAUUGCCUCUAUGGAAUAUUUCCAACAGGCAUGCCCUAUUGGCUUAUGGCCAGCGGGUGGCCCCCCUCCGGUGGUUCUUCGCUCCAGUAUUUCCCAUAUUGUCCAGAAAAAGUCAUCAAAACCUUUUAUUUUCUACAUAAAAACAAUACCACGGUAAUUUUGCUGAAAACCGCGUCAGUCUGUAUUAGUUCCAAUUAAAUCAUAUAAAAUGCAUCAAAAACAUAUAAAAUUAUUGUAAACAUACAUAAAUAUGGCAUGAAUACUUCAUAAAUUAUCAAUGCGUUGGAAACAUAUCAGCAUCCCAACCUUAAUUCCUACUCGUCCUCGAGUACGUAAAUGAUAAAAGAAAUAAUUUAUGAAGUGUGAAUGCUAGCAUAGUAUAUAGUUUGAUAAAUGCUAAUUCCAAUCACUUUUUUCUAGUAUCAUAAACAUCAACUUUUUUGUCAUGAAACUCAUUAUGAUAGAGUACAAAUGAAUUCACAUGUCAUGGUUUAAACAAUGCAUUCUCUUGAAAUUUAAUAACAUGUGUUCUUAGUCAUCAAACAAUUUCAAUGCAUCAUCAAGUCUAAGUAAUAGAUCCACAUACUCAAUUAUCAUAUAGUCUUCUAUGGUUGCUAAUACUCAAAGCAUAUUUUUAGAACAAACAGCUUCCAUCGGGCACAUAGAAAGAUAGGGGCUUAAUGUUUCGUAUUCCAACGUAGUUAUCAUGAAGAUAAUUGUCAAAAAUAAUAAAUCAUGAUCAAAUAUAUUUGACUGGAUAUAUGUGCUUGGAUCAUUCCCCACCACAUGGUGCUUGCCAACUAAUAGAUUGAGGUUGGAAUAAGGCGUUAACUCAACAUGAAAAGUAAAUAUUUUUUGGGUGGUGUGCUUUUCCUGCCAACGUUACACCAAGGGAUUUCAAUAUCUUCCAUGCUAAUCACAUUAUUGAUGGUUCCCAAACAAAAUUAAAAAUUUACCCCCCUUAACCAUUCAAACACUUUCAAUGGCUAGCUGUAUCCAUGGGCACACAAAACAAACAUUUAUUUGAAGGUUCUAGAGGUGACACAUGCAAAUUUACUUGGAAUGGCAGUGAAAUACCAUAUAUAAGUAGGUAUUGUAAACUCUCAUGGAAGAAAGUUGACUCAAUGAUUUGGAUGCACAAGUAGUAUCUCUACUUAGUACGAAGUUUUGGCCAGCAAAAGGCUCUAAACAAGCACCACAUGUUCGAGGAUCCAUAACAAUAUAACUUCUAUGCAAAUAUACCCAAAUAUAACCAUUAUGAUGUCUUCCUUGCCCAACUUCAACGAUUUGAUCAAGGUUGAAAAUAAUUAAUCGGUAUUCAAAAUCAUAAAAUAUUUCCAAGAUAACAUAUUUGUAUGUGAAAGUUCUCUUUCUUAUACUAAUCAUUCAUGAAUUGCUUGUAUGUCCAAUAGUGUGGUUGUCAAACUUCUAUAGAUUUUACUUUCUAAACCAAGUGAAACUACUACUAAGAUUAAAGCACAUUGAUAAUUUUAGAUUUAUGAUAUUUCAUUCAUUCAUAAUUUACUGUUAGGAUAUAAGUGAAGCACACGAGUAAACAUCAAACUACUCUCAAAAGAUAUAAAUGAAGACCAAUAAGUAGUCAAACAAUUAAGUAGCUAUGUGAGGACUCUCUCUCAAUAAAGAUUUUCAGAUCUAAGAUUUAUUUCAAACAACAAAGAAAACAAAAAUAUACUCAAGAAUAGCACAUAUCAUGUGAACAAAUGAAAACUUAGGACCAACAUAGGCUAACCGAUAGUUGUUGACGAAGAGAGGUGGGAUGCGUAGCAUCCCCAAACUUAGAUGCUUGAGACUUCUUGUAAUAUUUACUUAGGCUGCAUUGGGAAUCCCCAAGCUUGAGCUUUCAUAUCUUGUUCAAUCCUCUCAUAUCCCGGUUUCACCUAAGUCUCUAAAACUUCAUCCACACAAAAACUUGAAAAGAACUCCUGGGAUCGGUUAGAACACAUAAGAAUAAAUCAACCCUUCAUGUACUACCAAGACAAGUUGCAUAAUAAUUUUAAAACAUUAGGUACUAUAUAUUAUCAUUUCCACAAUUUAUAUGUGAUAACCCACAUGUAUAGGGGAUCGCAACAGUCUUCGCGGGUAGUAUUUCACCCUGAUUUAUUGAUUCGGCACAAGGGGAGACAAAGAAUAUUUAUCAGCCUUAGCAGUUGAGUUGUCAAAUCAACCACACAUGGGAUAUCUCUCUGCAGCAAGGAUUUAGUAGCACUACAAGCAAUAGUAGCAAUAGUAGCAGCGAUAACAACAAUUUGUAGCACUUGUGACAGUAGCAGCAGUAACUUUAGCAAGAUUCAAUAUAUGUAAAAUGUAGGCACAUGGAUCAGCGAUGGAUAGAUAUGGAUGACAUUCAUCAUGUAACAGUUAUACACUAGAGCAAUACAAAACUAGGUCCAAUUCAUAAAUAUAAUGUAGGCAUGUAUUCCGUAUAUUCAUAUGUGCUUGCAGUAAGAACUUGUAUGACAUCUUUCGUCCGACCCUCCCGUGGCAGCGAGGUCCAUAAAGAAACUAAGAUAUAUUAAGGUCUUCUUUUAAUAGAGAACCGGAACAAAGCAUUAACAUGUGGUGAAUACAUGAACUCCUCAAAACUACGACAAUCAUGAGAAAGAACCGCAAUUAUUAUCACCUUGGGGUAUGUGGACCAUAACACGUAAUAGGUGCAUACAACUUGCAAAAUAGGAUCUAAACAGCUACAUAAACAUUUUACAUACUAGGAUUGAGCAAUCCAGAUGCUCACAUAAAUAGCUACAGAAUAAAUUACCUAAACAUAACAGCACACAAAACUAUGCAAAUAGCAGGUCAAAUAGUUUUAAAUAUGCAUGCAAGUUGGAAAAUAUUAAUCUACGCAAAAUUCUACACGAUUUACAUAUAUAACUUGUCUAGAUCCGACACAAGGUUUAAAAGUUGUGGUCAUUUUAAAAUCAAUGGUUUUUCUGAAAUCCCUUGUAAUUGAAAAAAAAUGUAGGACGUUAAAUAAAAACUACACGGGCCGAAUCUCUACAUGGGCCUAAAUUAGUCAUCGGCGCAGAAUAGCUAAGCGACGCCCAUGGCAUUGGAUAAGUGGGGCUGGGGCAGCUCACCUCGGGCUUCGACCCGGCUGGAGAGGAGGCCACGGGGCCGUGUUUGGACUCGUGGAGGGAGGCGCUCGGGCCGCUGGCUGCGGCUGUACUGGGCCUGCUGCCGAUGAGGCUCAAGCGAGUCAACGGCAGCUGGCGAGCGAGAUCUAGAACCCCUCGAUCCAGAUCAGGAGGAGGGCGCGCGACAACGACGUGCGGUGGAGCCNNNNNNNNNNNNNNNNNNNNNNNNNNNNNNNNNNNNNNNNNNNNNNNNNNNNNNNNNNNNNNNNNNNNNNNNNNNNNNNNNNNNNNNNNNNNNNNNNNNNAAAGAAAUAUAAUAAUAACUAAUUUAUUAUUGCCUCUAGGGCAUAUUUUCAACAGUAUCGCACUCCAGAUGCUCCAGAGGGCUCCGCCACUUCCGGUCUGAAUCCCAAAAAGAAGUCUUUCAAGAAGACAGCUCACAAGACCAAGGGGAUCAACGUUCGCAAUAUGCCCCCCUAAGGAGUUUCUGCGGUUCCGCACCCGCAAUCACUAUCUAGAAGAGAAGGCUCAGAUGAAGAAUGUAGAGCAUGUUUGGUCACGAGAUCAUUGCAUGAUCUAUCGCGACAUCAUCAAGCACUUCAAGAAGAUGUUUGUUCCAGUACAGUGGAUUGACUUUGCUCACCUUCAGCGGAACCCUGAUUACUUUGGUGAGGCUCUCUCUUUGAUUGACAAGCUUGGCAUUAAGGAGAUCAUCACCUUCAAGCGCGACUUUGAUCUAGAUGUUGUGGCCCAAUUCUAUGUCACUGUUGACUUUGCACCUGAUGACGAGCGCACCAUGACUUGGAUGACCGGUACUCAGAAGAUGACAGGUUCCUGGUCAGAAUUCAUGAAGCUUCUCAAGGUCGACUUUCAGGGAGAUGAAAAUCCUCUUGGGUUGCGUCCUCAGGCUUCAUCUUCAUUUACUGCCACCCCCAAGGACAGGCUGCAACAACUUUAUGUGAAGAAAGGUGUGCUCCCCAAGCAUCUGGAUAUCAUGCAUCGGAUCUUCCGCAACACUCUCUUUCCUCGCAUUGGCAACUUUGACGAUGUGCAUGGUCAUCUAGCUGAGAUGCUUCUGCUUUGUGAGGAGGCUAAGACUAAGGAAUCUGCCCCUCUCGAUAUUGCCAACGUGAUGUUCAAUGAGCUCUGGAACUGCAUCAUGAACCGCAAGGUUCCCAUCUACGGGCCCUACUUGUUUGCCUAUAUUCGCCAGAGGUGGCACGAAGUCUAUCAGAUCAAUGAGUUCCCUAUCCAGGCUGAUUACUUUGUGCAUGAUCCUAUCAAGCUCCGCAUCAAAGACAAAUGGGCCAACCCAUCCACUUCGUCUCAGCACAUGGACACUGACACAGAGACUGCUGCUGAAGGAGGCCCCGCGUCUCAGUCCCGCUCUUCUGCUAUGCCAUCUUGGGCAGUGAAACUAAAGGAUAAAAUGAAGACUCUCUUCUGUAUGCAGGCCAAGGGACGGUAUCAGUCUCAUGUGGCCCAAAAGGAGAACUGUCAGAGGCACAAGCGUGUCUUGAGGACAGUUGAUGUUGAUAUCUCCAGCGGCUCAGAGGACGACAUCACUCCAGAGUCUGAUUGGAUGCGGGGUCAAGGUUAUCAGUGGUCUGAUGCAGAGGAGGAGGCGUCUGAGGAGGACAAUGAGGAGGAGCAGGACGAUCCGGAUGCCACGGACGAGUCUGGGGCUGAUGAGGAUGCGGAGUGACCACCUGUGUCAUUAGGUGUGCCCCUUUUUGGUGUCUUGUGCCAAAGGGGGAGAGAGUCUAGGAGCUGGAUUUGCGCUUUGCGCUUUGCUUUAGCUUUGCUUAUCUUUAUCGUGUUUUCUUUGAACUUGGUUUGCUCUUAUUUGCUAUCUUUGCUUUGUGUGAUGUGAGACUUGGACUAGUGUGAGACUUAUUUCUAUCAUAUGCUGUGAGUCAUAUGCUCCUUAAUUUUCUCUACCACUAUCUUUAUGUUCACAUGCUAUUCACUGUGCAAAUCCGGUAUUGUCAUCAAUCCACCAAAAAGGGGGAGAUUGUUAGGGCAUAUUUUAUGCCUAAGUAAUUUUGGUGAUUGAUGACAGUACCGCAAAGGACUAAUCGUGUGUGUUAAGAUUUCAGAUAACACAUGUCAACGGCACAAGACGACUCGCCCCCCUUCCAUGGAACAGAAGCACGGUGUACUCUACGAUUCUCUUUCUUUGAGUCAUAGGAACGCCGUACUAUUAAGAGGGGACCCGUAGUGGAAAGGUUUGGGUGGAAUCAAUUUUGCACGCACACACUUUAUCUCCUUUCCCUUUCCCUGCAACUUUGGAGUGGCUCCCGCCUCUGGUUUAUCUCCUCUAAGCAAAAAGGUCUCUCAGCAGUAGUACCGCUGUGCCUAGCGGUAGUACCGCUAGUGCUGGCGGUAGUACCGCCCCUUGUCAGCGGUAGUACCGCUCCAGGAACUUAGUACCGCCUUCCUAGCGGUUGUACUUCGUCAGAUUUUUUGCGAAGACUUUCUUGGCAGUGGUUGUCCCGGUAGUGCAUCUCCACUACCAUGGGCCCGUCGGUAGUACCGCUGGAGUGCCAGCGGUAGUACCGCUGCAGCGAGCGGUAGUACCGCUAGGCUCGGGCCGUGAGUGGGAAAACGGUUGGAUUCCCCCCCACUAUAUAAGGGGUUCUUCUUGCUCUAGAACCCUACCUUUGACCCUCCCAAGCUCCAUUGUUGCUCCNNNNNNNNNNACCCGUAGUGGAAAGGUUUGGGCGGAAUCAAUUUUGCACGCACACACUUUAUCUCCUUUCCCUUUGCCUGCAACUUUGGAGUGGCUCCCGCCUCUGGUUUAUCUCCUCUAAGCANNNNNNNNNNGGUAGUACCGCUGUGCCUAGCGGUAGUACCGCUGGGCCUAGCGGUAGUACCGCUGGAGCUGCCGGUAGUACCGCUAGCCCUAGCGAUAGUACUGCUGUGCUGGCGGUAGUACCGCCCCUGGUCAGCGGUAGUACCGCUCCAGGAACUUAGUACCGCCUUCCUAGCGGCUGUACUUCGUCAGACUUUUUGCAUAGACUUUCUUGGCGGUGGUUGGCCCGGUAGUGCAUCUGCACUACCAUGGGCCCAGUGGUAGUACAACUGCAGCCAACGGUAGUACCGCUAGGCUCGGGCUGUGAGUGGGAAAACGGUUGGAUUUCCCCCCACUAUAUAAGGGGUUUUUAUUGCUCUAGAACCCUACCUUUGACCCUCCCAAGCUCCAUUGUUGCUCCCUAAGCUCAAAAGUGCCCGAUCUCUCUCCCUAGCCAAUCAAACUUGUUGAUUCUUUAGGGAUUGAUUGAGAAGGCCUAGAUCUACACUUCCACAAAGAGAAAAAUUGAUUCCCUCACCAAUCCCUUGCAGAUCUUGUUACUCUUGGGUGUUUGAGCACCCUAGACGGUUGUGGUAACCUCGGAGACACAUUACAUUGUGGUGAAGCUUCGUGGUCUUGUUGGGAGCCUCCAAGCUUUGUGUGGAGUUUGCUCCAACCUUGUUUGUAAAGGUUCGGUCACCGCCUUCAAGGGCACCUAUAGUGGAAUCACGGUACCUCGCAUCGUGUGAGGGCGUGAGGAGAAUACGGUGGCCCUAGUGGCUUAUUGGGGAGCAUUGUGCCUCCACACCGCUCCAACGGAGACGUACUUCCUGUCAAAGGGAAGGACCUUCGUAACACAUCCUCGUCUUCAUUGGUUCCACUUGUGGUUAUCUCUAACCUUUACAUCGUGUAUGCUUAUGUUGUUGUGUAUCUCUUACUUGUCUUAGUUAUCUUUGUUGUUAGCAUCAUAUAGGUUCACCUCUUUGUUGUCAUUUUAGUGAACCCUUAUGUUGCUUACCCUAACUUGCUAAGAUUAAUUAAAAAGUGGUCGUUGCCUAUUCACCCCCCUCUAGUCAACCAUAUCGAUCCUUUCAAUUGGUAUCCGAGCCACGUCUCUUUAUUAAGGGUUUCACCACCCGAAGAGUAUGGAAGAUGAUGAGGGAGUUCCCCGUGUGCAAACCGAGGCCAUGGAGUUGACUUCGAUCACAAGGGAGGACUUGAAUACGACUAUGGCCGCACUCAAGACGUCCAUGACGAACGAGGUCAAGACCAUGCUUAAAGAGUUAAUUGCGGGAAUUAAAAGUUCUCCCGAACCGGCGUUGGUGGUUAAACCCACCAACACGGAUUCGGAGGCCAAUUCCUUUAGGGAAACAGCUAAAGGUAUGCAACCUUCCCCUCCUCUCGAAAAUGAUGGGAAUGGGACUUAUGCAUCUGUUCCACCACCCUUAGUCUAUGGAGGACCGGUUCCCACACCGCGUCUUAACCCUGUUGGUCCUCCUCCUAAGCUUGUAAAAGGUGACUUUGCUAACUGGGUAUUUUCUAUUAAGUCUCAUUUGAAUCACAGCUCAACAAAUUUGUGGAGAAUCAUCGAGCAAGGCUAUUAUCCCCAUGACCCAAGCAACCUCACUCCAAGAGAAGAAGCGGACAAUCAAUAUAAUCACUCUGCAUUGUUUAUUCUCCAGUCCGCAGUGCCACCUGAAGAUCUUCCUCACUUGCGUCCCUUCACUUUGGCCAAGGACUGUUGGGAGCACAUUAUGGUGUUGUACAAGGGAAGCUCAAGCAUUCAACGGUCCAACUAUGAAGUGGUACUUGAUAAGGCCGAUGAGUUUGUGAUGAAGGAAGACGAGGACCCUCGAGAUCUCUAUCGAAGGGUGACUGCUAUUGCUGUGGCACUCAAGGACCAUGGGAGCAAGGAUGUGGAUGAUGCAUGGGUCAAGCGCAAGUUUCUCAAGGUCAUCAUGCCUUUCAAUAAAGCCAUGUCAUCUGUCAUUCGCCAACGACCAGAUUUCCAAUCCUUGUCUUCCAGUGAGGUGUUGGAUGAAUUCAUUGCAAUGUCAAUCAUGAACGAGACAGCUGACAAUUCACUUGCUCGUGUUCGCUCAAAGACAGCUUCACCCAACCUUGCAUUAAAGGCAAAAGCGGCUUUUGAAGAAGAAGAAGAGGAUGAGGAAGAGGAGAGCUGCCCUGAAGACACGAAGUAUGCUUAUCAUGAGCACAUGGCUCUUGCAUCAAGGCAAUUCUGGGGCAACAAGAGGAACUCAAGACCCACCUUCACCAAGAACAACUCAAGUGGGUUCAAACCCAAGCAACGAGUGAGGACAUGCUAUAACUGUGGUAAUGUGAGUCACUUUGUGGCCGAAUGUCCCUAUGAGAAAAGGGAAGACAACGGGGGAAAGCUCAUUCACAAAGACAAAACCAAGUCAUUCCCAAUCAAGAACAACUUUGUGAAGAAACCCCACCCAAAGGGUAUGGUGGCUCUUGAAGAGUACCUUUCCGACAAUGAUGAUGAUGAUGAUAUGGUGGCAACUGCAACUGUUGCUAUUGCCACCCCCUCUCCCAAGAAGGUGUCUCUCUUCAACGCCCCCAACGAGAACCACAUCGCCAAGUGCCUCAUGGCAAAAGGUAUCGAUCAGGUAACCCCCAUCAUUAAGACCAACAUCGUUACUGCUCCUUCAUUGUUGAAUUGUGUUGAUGAUAGUGAUGUUGGGGAACUUAAUGAGCAUGAUCUUGACAAAUUUCUGUGCACUAUUAAGGGAGAAUCCAAGAAGCACUUUGUUGCUCUCUUGGAACAACUGGGUGAGGCUAAUUACCUCAUCGAGUCUCAUGAGGAGACCAUCUCCGAGCUUCAGGGACAUAGUCGUGACUAUGCCGAUGAGAUUGCUGAAUUAUCUAUUGCACUAGAAAAGGAGUGCACUCUACGUUUGGCUCUUGAGGAGUCAUACAAUGAUGACUGCGCUGAAGUGCAAAAGAAACUAGAUCAUGACACUGUUCUUACUCGUAUGCUUAAGUCUGAAAAGUAUGCUCUUGGGGUUGGCCUUGACAGACUCAAAGUGGAGUUUCACACACUUGACAAGGCUCACAAGGUCUUGAAAGGUGUUCAUUUCUCUCUGAAAGAGUCUCAUGAUCAACUCCAAGCAAAGCUUACCAAGGAAAUCUCUACUUGUCCUCCCUUUGUGUUAAUUGAUAAUGCUUGUACAACUAACCCUUGUUGUGAGCAUGUACAUCUUGUGGAGGAAAAUGCCAAGUUAAAGGAGAGACUUGAGAAGGGCCUUGUGUCAUGCAUACAAGGCGAGAAGAGCCUGAACGACCUCUUGAGCAAUCAAAAGGCUGUUGUAGGAAAGGAGGGACUUGGACUUACCUCCAAGUCAAAAGGAAAAAGGAAGAACAGGAACAAACGAUCCCCUACCCUCAUGGACAUCUUUGUCAAAGAGGGCGAAGGGACUCAGGAGGUGAACAGGAACAAGGUGGACGAUGGUAACGUCAAGAAGGGCAGAACCAUUCCUGCUAACACGGCCGGCAAACUCAACCCUUCCUAUGUUUUAUGUCGUGCUGGUGAUGGGCAUGUUUAUGCCAAAUUUGUUGGUUCUUACUAUGGGUCCAUUGAAUGGGCUAUUUGGGUUCCUAAGACCCUUGUCUCUAACAUUAAAGGACCCAUUCAAAAAUGGGUACCUAAAAUCAAGCCUUGAUCUAUUGCAGGAGUUUGCUUCCGGUGGCGUGUCAUGGUUGCUCGAUAGUGGAGCAACAAAUCAUAUGACUGGAAGCAAGGACUUAGUGGUGGAUGUGCAUCCUUCUCCAUCUAUGCCCACCCAUGUACAAUUCUUCGAUGCAUCCUCGUCAAAGGUAUUGGGAUUUGGUAAGGUGGUCAUCUCUCAAGAGUUAUCUAUUGAGAAGGUCAUGCUUGUUGAGUCUCUUGCCUACAGUUUACUUUCGGUUCGUCAACUUGCAAUUAUGGGUUUUUCCACUUUCUUUAAUCUUGAUACUGUGGUCCUCUUGUGGAGCAAGACUCUUAAAGUAGCCUAUGUUGGAUAUGUCGAAAAUGGUCUUUAUGUGGUGAACUUUUCAAAGCAACCCACUAAGACUGCGACUUGUCUAAUUGCUAAAGUUGAUGUGGGCUAGCUUUGGCAUCGCCGACUAGCUCAUGUCAAUAUGAGAUCUUUGCAAAGUCUUCUUAAAGGGGACCAUAUUCGUGGACUAACAAAUUUGAGUUUUGCUAGAGAUCGUGCUUGCAGUGCCUGCAUUGAAGGAAAGAUUCAUGAAACUGCUCAUCGUCCAACGACUCUCAUUUACACUAAGAGGCCAUUGGAGCUCCUCCAUAUGGAUCUUUUCGGUCCUCCAUCAUUUGAUAGUCUUGGAGGCAGAAAGUACUGCUUGGUAAUUGUUCAUGACUACUCAAGAUACACCUGGGUAUAUUUCUUCAAGAGGAAGAGUGAGACUCAACAAACUGUCAUCAACUUUGCUAAUGAAGCUCAACGUCAACAUGAUGCAAAGAUUUUGAUGAUUAGAAGUGACAACGGCACUGAGUUCAAGAACUACGCCUUGGAUGAGUUUCUAGGUGAUGAGGGUAUAAAACAUCAAUAUUCAGCACCAUAUACCCCUCAACAAAAUGGCGUGGCGGAAAGGAAGAACCGGACUUUGAUGGAUGCUGCAAGAACAAUGAUGGCGGAAUUCAAAUCUCCAUAAAACUUUUGGGCUGAGGCCAUCAACACAGCAUGUCACGCGUCCAAUCGGCUCUAUAUCCGCAAAGGCUUGAACAAGACCCCAUAUGAGAUUCUCACCGGAAACAAACCCAAUCUCAAGUACUUCCGGGUAUUCAGUUGUAAGUGUUUCAUUCUCAAGAAAGGUGCACGUUUAGCUAAAUUUGAUUCUAGAGCACAAGAGGACAUCUUUGUUGGUUAUGGUACAAACUCUCAUGCUUACCGUGUCCUUAACAAGUCCACCGGACUCAUUGAGGAGACGUGUAACGUGGAGUUUGAUGAAAAUAAUGGCUCCCAAGUGGAGCAAAGUGGUCUUUGUGAUGUAGGUGAUGAAAUUCCUCCCCAAGCCAUAAGAAGAAUGGGGAUUGGUCAAAUACUCCUCAUUGAGGAACCCCUUGUGGCCGAAGGAGAAGGACAAUGCUCUACUCAAGUGGAGCCAUCACCUUCACAAGCCCCACACGCUUCCGAUGCACAAAGAGAAGACCCUCCACAAGUUGAACAAGCUCAAGGUCAAGAUCAAUUGCUCAACAAUGGUGAUGUGUCCCAUGAUGUACAAGCACUUACCCAAGGUUCCGAACCUGCUCAAGAUCAAGAUCAAGUGCAACUACAAGAUCCAUAACAAAUAGAAGCACAAGAUCAAGAUCAAGAGCAACCACAAGUACAAGGACAAACAAGUGAACCUGCUCAAGUCGAAAAUCAAGUUGAUCAGGAUACUGUCUCGCAACUCCCGUCUGUAGCACCAAAAGCCGGUGCCAAGGGAGGUUCAAGACGCAAGGGCAAGCAAAGUAAACAAGUCGAUGCUCCCCAGUUAUCCAAUGAAGAACUCUUGGAGCGUCGAGCAGCCAAGAUUGCGAACAAGCUGAGAGUCAAGUCACAUCUUAUGAAGAAUGUACUUGGCAGUUUAAAAAGGGGAGUAUCCACCCGUCAACAGAUUUGGAAUUAUUGUGAGCAUCACGCGUUUGUUUCGUAUUGUGAACCUCAACAGGUACAGGAAGCGCUCGAUGAUGAGGAUUGGCUUAUGGCCAUGCAUGAAGAACUCAACAACUUCGAGUGUAAUCAAGUCUGNNNNNNNNNNNNNNNNNNNNNNNNNNNNNNNNNNNNNNNNNNNNNNNNNNNNNNNNNNNNNNNNNNNNNNNNNNNNNNNNNNNNNNNNNNNNNNNNNNNCCAAAGGAGGAACAUAAUGUCAUCGGGAACAAAUGGAUUUUCAAAAACAAGCAAGAUGCCAAUGGGAUUGUGAUUCGAAACAAGGCAAGAUUGGUGGCUCAAGGCUACUCCCAAGUCGAGGGUAUCGACUACGGUGAAACCUUUGCCCCUGUUGCUCGUCUAGAAUCUAUUCGCAUGCUGCUCGCAUUUGCUUCUCAUCAUAAUUUCAAAUUACAGCAAAUGGAUGUGAAAAGUGCUUUUCUUAAUGGUCCUUUAAAUGAGUUGGNNNNNNNNNNNNNNNNNNNNNNNNNNNNNNNNNNNNNNNNNNNNNNNNNNNNNNNNNNNNNNNNNNNNNNNNNNNNNNNNNNNNNNNNNNNNNNNNNNNNCCCAUCCGAUUUCAACCGCACGACCGCGAUUGGACGGUCUCGGUCGCGAGCUUAGGCUAGGUGGGCUUGGUGGCUAUGUAGAGGGGUUGUGUGCUAAGAAUAAAGGGUAGUUUGCGGCUCGACACAAUAUUUUAAACACCAAAAAACGUCCGACGAUAAACCGAUGAUGGUGCCACUACGGUCGACCGUUUGGGUAUCAAACGAACUCCGGUUGCGACGAAAAUUGGCAAGCGGCCUACCUACAUUAAAAUAAGACCGCACGCCAAGUUUCAACCCAAUCUGAGAAAGUUGUAUACCGGUUUAAAAAAAACAAUAUUUUGACGAUGUCGCGGGCGCGUGCGUGUGUGGCUGGUCUCAAUACGGUCAACGACAAAAACGGAGAGAACCGGAAACUACUAACGGAUGCAAGUUUUUCAAAAUUGACGGCAAUGGAGUAGAGAUUCAAUGCGAAUGAUGUGAAUGAUGCGAUGAUGAGUGCGACAAACAAAUAAUCAUACGGCGGCAACAUAAUAAAAGGGGAAUCUUCUGGAGCGUGAGUCUCGGGCUGUUACACUUCAUUCAUAGUGAUCUUCUCUACUCCUUCUCUUUCUGCAAGGUGACUCAUCUAUUGAGCUUCGUCUUCGAUGUGACUCUUCUGUUCGUUUGUAGGGAGCCGAGCACUCAUUAGAGUAGUGUCCGGGCUUCCCACAAUUGUAGAAGUUUCGGUCACGACUGGACGAACGCUUCUCAUCAUGUCUUGAGCUUGAGCUUCUCUCUUUGCCUCUACUCUUGUAUAACUUGUUGAAUUUUUUGACCAUGAAUCUUAUCUCUUCAUCAGUGACAAGAUUGUCCUUUGAAGUAGCGGUUGCAUCACAUGAAGCUUUAUACGCACCGCUUGACUUGUUGUGCAACUCAUCUUUGUCCUUGAGUGACAUCUCAUGAGGAACAAUCCUACCAGUGACUUCAAUUGGCUUGAGAUCUUUGUAGUUUGACAUCAUUUGGAUCAAUGUGCACACUGUGUCAUACUUGCCAUCGAGAGCUCUAAGUAUCUUCUUGAUGAUGAAUUUGUCGGUCAUCUCUUCGCUUCCUAAGCCAGCAAUCUCAUUGGUGGUGAGAGCUAGCCUAGAGUACAUUUCAGCGACACCUUCAACAUCCUUCAUCUUGAACUUGUCAAGCUGACUUUGAAGCACAUCCAACUUAGAUUCUCCGAUAGAAUCGGUACCUUCAUGCAUAUCAACCAAAGUAUCCCAAAUUUCUUUCGCAUUCUCAAGAUGACUGAUUUUGUUGAAUUCUUUGGGGGCAUAGACAGUUGAAGAUGAUGUCGCAGGCUUGAGCAUUGAGUUGCAACAUCUUCAGUUCAUCAGAUGUCGCAUCACGAUCAGGUUCAUGUCCUUCUCCAAACAAGUUACCUUGCACACCAACACGAAUAACGAUCCAAACAUGAGGAUUAAAGCCAAGAAUAUGCAUUUUCAUCUUAUGCUUCCAACUAGCAAAAUUAGUGCCAUCGAAAUAUGGACCUCUAUGGUGAUAGUUUCCCUCACUAGAUGUCAUACUCUCCUAGGUUGUUAAACCAAUGAAAUGAAGACCAAAGCUAUGAUACCACUUGUAGGAUUGAAAGUAUGUCUAGAGGGGGUGAUUAGACUACUUGACAAGAUAAUUUUUUUGCCUUUUCCAAUUUUAGUUGAGAGGUAGCUACGACAGUUAGCAAGUCAAGUACACCCUAUAAAUGCAGCUCUAAGAGUAUAGCAGCUGAAUGUAAAACAUGCACGUGUAAAGUAGAGGAGUAAGGUAGGGAGAUCAAACGCACGAGGUUGACAUGACGAUUUUUGGCAUGGUUCCGAUAGGUGGCGCUAUCGUACAUCCAUGUUAGUGGAGACUUCAACCCACGGAGGGUAAUGGACGCGAGAGUCCACGGAGGGCUCCACCCACGCAGGGUCCACAAAGAAGCGGCCUUGUCUUUUCCACCACGGCUUCCGUCCAUGGAGGACUAGCCUUACUCACGGUAGAUCUUCACAAAGUAGGUGAUCUCCUUUCCCUUACAAACAUCUUGGUUCAACUCCACAACAUGAAGUAGGAGGCUCCCAAGCGACACCUAACCAAUCUAGGAGGCACCACCCUCCAAAAGGGAAUAGAUGUGGUAGAUCAAUGAACUCCUUGCUCUUGUACUUCUAAAGAUAGUCUCCUGAAAACAAAAUCACUCUUGUUAGGGCAUAUUUAGGUCUAAGUAGUUUUGGUGAUUGACGGCAGCACCUCUGCGGAUUAAUCGUGUGCAUUGAGCAUUUCAGAUAAUACAUCAUAGGGCACAAGAUGAUUCGUCGCCCCUCGGUGUUGUUGGAGCACGGUGUUUCCUACGACUCUCUUUGGUAGUGUUGAGUAGUAGGAAAGCCGUACUAUUAAGAGUGGGUCCGUGUUGGAAAGGUUUGGGUGGAAUCAACUCUCUCACACGCACAUUUUCUUUNNNNNNNNNNNNNNNNNNNNNNNNNNNNNNNNNNNNNNNNNNNNNNNNNNNNNNNNNNNNNNNNNNNNNNNNNNNNNNNNNNNNNNNNNNNNNNNNNNNNUUUCCUCUCCUGGCAUGUCACUGGAUUCUGCACCUUCAUCUCCGGUGACUUCUACGUCUUCACCCCUCGAUUCUACCUUGGCGAUCCCCCCUUGCAUUGUUCCAUCUUUUCCUCAGUGUUACACUCAUCGUUCACGUCAUGUGGAUGCCUCUAUGGAUGUGCCGUCAUCCUCAUCUCAGCCUCCCUAUGCCUUGCGUUCUCGCCCUCGUCCGCAUGUUGAUCGCCUUGGAUUUCGCACCGUUGGUGCUGCUGUUCUUGAGCCGACUUCCUAUCAUCAAGUUGUUGUUCAUCCUGAAUGGCAGUUUGCGAUGGCAGAGCAGAUUGCUGCUCUUGAACGCACUGGUACGUGGGAUCUUGUUUCACUUCCUCCCGGAGUCCGUCCCAUCACUUGUAAGUGGGUCUACAAGGUUAAGACUCGCUCCGAUGGUUCUCUUGAGCGUCACAAAGCUCGUCUUGUGGCUCGUGGUUUUCAGCAGGAGCAUGGUCGUGAUUAUGACGAGACUUUUGCUCCUGUGGACCAUAUGACAAUUGUUCGUACACUUCUUGUCGUGGCCUCUGCACGCCACUGGUCUAUAUCUCAGCUUGAUGAUAAGAAUGCCUUUCUUAAUGGUGAGCUGCGUGAGGAGGUGUACAUGCAGCCACCACCUGGGUAUUUUGUUCCUGAUGGCAUGGUAUGUCGUCUUUGUCGCUCUCUCUAUGGCCUUAAGCAAGCCCCUCGCGCCUGGUUUGAGCGUUUUGCCUCUGUGGUGACUGCUGCUGGUUUUUCAGCGAGUGCUCAUGAUCCAGCAUUGUUUAUUCACCUUUCUCCUCGUGGUCGGACUCUUCUUCUUCUCUAUGUUGAUGACAUGAUCAUCACUGGGGAUGACCCCGAGUAUAUUGCCUUUGUAAAGGCCCGUCUUAAUGAGCAGUUUCUUAUGUCUGAUCUUGGACCUCUUCGCUACUUUCUUGGGAUAAAGUCUCUUCUACCCCUGAUGGCUUUUUUAUAUCCCAGGAAAAGUAUAUCCAGGAUCUUCUUGCUCGUGCUGCUCUUACUGACGAGCGCAUUGUUGAGACUCCUAUGGAGCUCAAUGUUCACCUCCGUGCUACUGAUGGUGAUCCCCUGCCUAACCCGACGCGUUAUCGUCAUCUUGUUGGCAGUCUUGUCUAUCUAGCUGUCACUCGUCCGGAUAUCUCUUAUCCGGUUCAUAUUCUGAGUCAGUUCGUCUCCGCUCCCACAUCGGUUCACUAUAGUCAUCUCCUUCGUGUUCUCCGAUAUCUUCGAGGCACGAUCUCUCACCGUCUAUUCUUUCCUCGCUCCAGUUCUUUAUAGCUUCAGGCCUAUUCGGAUGCUACGUGGGCUAGUGAUCCUUCAGAUCGCCGUUCACUUUCUGCUUAUUGUGUUUUUCUUGAUGGUUCUCUCACUGCCUGGAAGACGAAGAAACAAAUUGCAGUUUCCCGUUCAAGUGCAGAGGCUGAGUUGCGAGCGAUGGCUCUUUUGACGGCAGAGGUGACUUGGUUACGAUGGUUACUACAGGAUUUUGGUGUUUCUGUCACUACACCGACUCUGCUCUUAUCUGAUAGUACAUGUGCUAUUAGCAUUGCGCACGAUCCUGUGAAAGAUGAGCUCACCAAGCAUAUUGGUGUUGAUGCUUUCUAUGUGCGCGCUGGUGUGCAGGAUCAGGUCAUUACUCUUCAGUAUGUGCCUUCCGAGUUACAGUUGGCAGAUUUCCUGACGAAGGCCCAAAUUAGAGCACAACAUGGCUUUUAUCUCUCUAAACUCGGUGUUGUUCAUCCACCAUGAGUUUGAGGGGGUGUUAGAGUUAUAAUAUAAGUCAUGUACCCUUUUGUAUUUAUCCCAAUAUAUAAGGGGUUUCCUGCAUAUAGUCCACCACCUGUACAUGUAUAUAUACCGGCCUAUGGCCUCAUGGGAAUACAAGUUGCAUAUUCCUAACAAUAUAAUCCCGUAUAACAUUCCCUUUGUCCUUCGAUAUGUUACUUGCCCAAGAUUUGAUCGUCGGUAUCUCUAUACCUAUUUCAAUCUCGUUACCGGCAAGUCUCUUUACUCGUUCUGUAAUACAAGAUCCCGUGACUAACACUUGAGUCACAUUGCUUGCAAGGCUUAUAUGUGAUGUUGUAUUACCGAGUGGGCCUCGAGAUACCUCUCCGUCACACGAAGUGAUAAAUUCCAGUCUUGAUCCAUGCUAACUCAACGGACACCUUCGUAUAUACCUGUAGAACACCUUUAUAGUCACCCAGUAACGUUGUGACGUUUGAUACACAUAAGGUAUUCCUCCGGUGUCAGUGAGCUACAUGAUCUCAUGGUCAUAGGAAUGAAUACUUGACACGCAGAAAACAAUAGCAACAAAAUGACAUGAUCACAUGCUACGUUCAUAGUUUGGGUCUUGUCCAUCACAUGAUUCUCCUAAUGAUAUGAUCCAGUUAUCAAGUGACAACACUUGCAUAUGGUCAGAAAACCUUAACCGUCCUUGAUCAACUGGAUAGCCAACUAGAGGCUUACUAGGGACAUAGUUUUGUCUAUAUAUCCACACAUGUAUCUAUGCUUUCAUUCAAUACAAUUAUAGCAUGGAUAAUAAACGAUUAUCUUGAAACAGGAAAUAUAAUAAUAACUAUUUUAUCAUUGCCUCUAGGGCAUAUUUCCAACACGCGCCUCCGGCACCGCCGCAGUCACCGACCGGACAAGGCAGCAGGGCAUACCAGGCCACCCCUGGCCCAGUCGGGCCUGGAACGGGCCCGCUAAGCCCUGUCGGCCAUGCUGCAGCGCGCUGNNNNNNNNNNNNNNNNNNNNNNNNNNNNNNNNNNNNNNNNNNNNNNNNNNNNNNNNNNNNNNNNNNNNNNNNNNNNNNNNNNNNNNNNNNNNNNNNNNNNCUGCGGGCAGGCCGCCGGAAUGGCAGUUCGGUGGUUGGGCCAAAGAGACGGAAGCCCGCGCUUCGGAAGAAAAAACAUCAGCGGGGUGCCGGAACAACAAAAGUUAAACCGACCCGGCCCAUGAGCGACAGAUAUUUGUGCUGCUGCUUCUGCCUUUAUUUUCGAAACUCACCAGUUAGCGAGCGCUCUUUCGAAAGAUUCGCAGCGAGCACUUCUACAUGCAGCCACUUGGCGUGUUUUUAGCCGCCGUCACAUAUCGCGCUCUGAGCGUUUCCUCGGGAUUUCAUUUUUUUUAUUUUUCUGCACGUUUUUUCGGCUUUUUAGAUUAUUAUUAUUUUCAAUUUUUUUGAUACUUUGGUUUUUCACCGGUCUUUCUUAUUUCUUUGACGAAAUUUUUUUAAACACAAAUUGCAAAAAAUGUGUUUUUUGUUUUUUCGCAAUAGGCAUGGUUUUGCUUUCGUAAGAGGUAUGAUUUUGCCUUUGCGAAAGACGUGCCUCUCAAAAACGAAAAAAGUGUUUUUUAGAGAUAAGGUUUUGCUUCCGCUAAAGGCACGGCUUUGCUUUCGCGAGAGGCACGAUUUUGAAUUUGUGAGAGGCACGGUCGAGCCUCUCAGAAAGAGAGAAAAUAACGCAAUUUCUGUUUUUUUUUCAUGAGAGGCAUGGUUUUAUUUCUGCAAGAGGCACCGUUUUACCUUCGUGAGAGACACACCCGUGCCUCUUGAAAAGGGAAAAUAACGGUUUUUUUUCAUAAGAGACAUUGUUUUGUUUCAUGAAAGGCACGAUUUUGUCUUUAUGAGAGGCACGGAUCGGAAAGAAAAAGAACGCGUUUUUUGGAAGAAAAAAAAACUAUCACGAGAGGAACGGUUUUUUGGUCCAAUUUUCUUCAUGGAAUUUUUUUUUAUCAAAAUCUAUCUACAUGGUAUUUAAUUUUAAAGAUCUCAAUACAAGAAAUUCAACGAUGAAAACGGCUCAAGAUUUGGAUGCACGAUUUAGGAGGUAAAACGUUUUAAAAUAUGAAAUAUAAAAAAAAAUCAGGUUGUGACAAAUGACACGCAUGCAGUACACCACUUUAUCGCAAUCUAGAAAGAUGGAAGUGGUCUUUAAAAGGAGCCCUUAAUUAAUGAUUUUGCUUUUUUUUCCUGCUACAUAUUUUUCUCGCGCACCGUCGUCGGCAGAGAAAGACAGACUUUAUCGAGAAAAAAUGAAAGAGAGAGCGAAAAAUAGAGACGGAAAACUACGUGGCAGCUGCACAACGAAGGACGUUUCACCGCAGCUGUGGCCGAAGCUGGAGCGCAGAGCAAGCGCAGAGGUCGCCCUCGCGUCGCGGCGUGGUGGAAGCCAUGACAACAGCAGCUGCAUUCCUGUCUCCGUUACAUUUUUCCUCUGGUAUACUCCCUCCGUUUCAAAAUAACUGUUUUAAACUUAAAUACAAUUUUAUACUGAAAUUAAUAUAAAGUUAAGACAGUUAUUUUGAGACGGAGGAAGUAUAAAAUAUCUCCGAUGCCUUUCGAUAUUUUCAGUUGGAUGGAACGGCCCGAGGUUUCGAGCCACGGCCUGAAAUAUCUCCUGCAUUUUUUGAGUAGGCACGAAAUAUCCAGCUUCCAGGAGAGCCGCGUGCAUAGGAUUCUAUGAGCACGACGUGUUCCCUCGUGUCCUUGCAGCGCCCAUUAAACCGUGCUGCAGCCGGAGUAAAUUAGAUGGUUAAUGCGGCUAAUUACGCACUUCACGUGCUGGUUCAUGCGUCGCGCGCGCAACCACCGGCCGGCCUCUGCACAAUGAAUAGUCCUUGGGAACCAGUGCAGUGGUGGUCAAUGCCGUGCUUAAUUGGAGGCCGGUUCAGUUUGCUCCUCUCGUGUGAUGGCAUGGCAUGGCAUGCCACCCACUGACUGACCUGGUAAGCUGCUGGAGCACAUGUCCACUAGCUCCAUUUGAUUUGAUCCUGGUAGUUUAUUAGUGGAUGCGAUCGGUACUCUAAUCCACCUAAUCUAGCUAUCGGAUUAAGAGAGAUGCCGGAGGAGAUUACUUUGCUGGUCGACAUGCCUUGCAACUUGCAGUUAGACUUAGAGUGGUGAAAUUUACAUGGUUAUUGGUAGUGGUGGUACUUUUUUCUCGAAAAGAAGGAAAAUGUGAUGAGUACUAUAUAUCCACCUAAUCUAUUGAAAAGAUGUUGAAGAAGAUUAUUAUAUAUAUAUAUAUUUUUUGAAAUGAAUUUGACAUUUUAAUUGAUUAAGAAGAAGAGAAUUACAUGAUUAAUUGGCGAAAACCCGGCUAAAACCGAUACAAUACACAACGCAUAUGACAUGGGCACCACCGGUCAACCUCGCCACUGACAUGAGACCCGAAGCUGCAAAGAAGAAAAACAUCCAUUGCGAAGUCCCAAGCGUCAUCAUUGUCACCGGUUGCCUCGAACGAGCGACUCCGACUUCACCAUCGAGCUCCAACUUCAAAGCCAUCCCGCAAACAGUUGCAAAGAAACCACGACAACACAUGCCACCGGAUGACCACACGCCCGAGUAGCCGACAGCUCCAACCUUGACGACGAGUAUCACAAGGGAAAUAUGCAAGACUUGCGCCGACCGUGCCCUUCGCAAACGACCACCGAGCACACGUCAUCGUCACUGCCUGGGCUCGCUCCACCACAGCUCUGACUUCAAGCAACCAAGGAACCCACGAAAGACCACCUCGGACACGCCGAAAAGAACCGACUAUCAAAGUCCAUGCUGCGACCCGAGCUCCUCGCAACGCCAUCAUCAUUGCCAAACACUAACUAGCGCCCCACCUCAACAAACCAUGCGUCAAAGAUGCCACCAACGGCGGCGAAGAUGCCGCAAUACGCUAGUCUCCCAGUCGUAGCCGGCUCCGAGGCGAUGCCCCCAAGAAAGAAAAAGACGCAAUGACACCACCAUCGCCCGAUCCACGGGAUCUGAGGUUUUCCUCAAGAUCUCGGGUCGUGGGGAGGAGCAACACACCUUCACGAUGACGCUUUCAAGAAAGAUAANNNNNNNNNNNNNNNNNNNNNNNNNNNNNNNNNNNNNNNNNNNNNNNNNNNNNNNNNNNNNNNNNNNNNNNNNNNNNNNNNNNNNNNNNNNNNNNNNNNNGGCCCCUGGCCAGCGGGCGAAGCAGCCAGCCGGGUCCCACGCUUGUACCCUUUAUCCAUAUUGUAGGCCGGCGGGUUCGUCUAUAAAACCCCCCGGUCGCCCCCCAUGCAAGGGGACCGAUCAUUCACCAGUCAUUCAACCCAACACAUUCACCAACCACAGAGAGAGAGGUAGAGACGAGCCGGCUGCUUCCCUCUUCCUCCUCCCAACACAGCUCCAGGAGCGACAUUGUACUCUGUUCCUAUACAUCAAAACUCUGGCAGGAUUAGGGGUAUUAUCUCUACGGAGAGCCCUGAACCUGGGUACAUCGUGCGUCCCAUGCGUGUACCAACCUCGUUCCCAGCGCCCACCUUUGUCCCUUCGGUUCUCACCGACUUUAGCCUACCUAUGGCAUAUGUUGUGAGUAUUCACCGACAUUUGGCGCCCACCGUGGGGCCGAUCGCGGCAUCGGCUGGCUUUACGCGCUGGGCGGGGCCCCGCACCUACACCACCGGAUGCAUCGUGUCCGGAUCAGUUUGCAUGCCCGUGGAGCCCGCUUUUGACGAGGCGACACCCAUGAUGAUCGACGUCCCCGUCCGCCAUGCGGAUUCAGACGAAGAUUCUGAUGACGAGGCGCUCCCUACCGUCGUCGUCGCUGCUUUGGAGAACCUCAACGUUCUCUUCAGCGACCUUUGACUCAACGACGGCCCGUGCUACUUCGGCGAGGACUUCAACGUUGAGGCGCUCUGCGCCAGCUUCAGCAGGCUUUCUAUCACUGAGAUGCCUGCCCACGACGUUUAUCCCAGUAACGUCCUCAUCUUCGACGGCCCUCCGCCGUCGGUGGGGUUCUUCACCCCAUACCACGUUGCUGCCGUCUCCAACAUCGUGGAGGUGAUGGUUAUCGGCGCUGGCACCAGCACGGCUCCCGGCAAGGCCUCCGCAGGCGAUGGCGAGCCCGCUGCGACCACCGCUGAUACUCUUCGGGACGCCAUCGCCGGCCUGAAGACACCGGUCACCACUUCCGCCGACCCUACAGACGCUCGGGCCUCGCUGGAGGAGGCUCGCAAGCGUAUCUUGGAGGAGGGCAUCGUCGUGGCUUCGGCGAAACGUCGGUUGGAGGCUACGCAACACGAGUAUAACUCCGCAUACGGUCUCACUCCGAUUUCCGAGGCCCCUAGCCGGCUUGGAUCGGUCCGCAACUGCGGUCGGUUCAUCGCCGAGGUUCUAGGCGGCGAUCUGCCCACCUACGAGACUCCUGCGGCCAACAUGCGGGCGGCGCAGGCAGCCAUGGAGGAGAUGGCAAGUCUGGAAGGCGAGGAGCGCGCCUUCCAGGAGAAGCGUGUCAAGGAUCUCCUUGACGCCGCCAACCAACAACACGCUCGGCUUGACCCCGGUCAGGCUCAAUCGGAGUCCCCGGGACCGAACUCGGGGGCACGCCGCAACCCUAGCGGUUAGCACCACGCAGAAGGAUCUUCCUCGCAUCGCCCUUCCGGCCAGAGGGGCGAGGGAAGCCAAGACCGGCGCUCUCAACGCCAGAGCGAGCACACUUCGGGCUUGCAUCGCGGAGGCGACGAGGGCGAUUCAGAGUGUGAGGUUCCUCCCCCACGAGGAACUCACGUCUCUGGUUCACGAGGCGCCUCCCCUUCGCCACCAGGGAUGGCGUCCACGCCACCCAGGAUGAGCGGGACGCCCGCCGGCGUGUCAUCGUCCUGGCCCAGUCCGCCCUCCUAGAGGAAGACAGACCCAUCGGUCCGGCAUGCUUCGGCCCCCGGAUCCGAGGGGAGCCGUUCCCCCGAGGUUUCACCCUACCUCGGGAUACGCCGAAAUACAACAGCACGGCCAAGCCAGAAGACUGGCUGAUUGAUUACACCACGGCCGUAGGCAUCGCCAGGGGCAACAAGCGUGUAGCGGUUCGCUAUGUGCCACUCAUGUUGGCCGGCUCGGCCCGGACUUGGCUUAACAGCCUCCCGGCCGGCAGUGUCAACUCCUGGGUGGACUUUGAGGANNNNNNNNNNNNNNNNNNNNNNNNNNNNNNNNNNNNNNNNNNNNNNNNNNNNNNNNNNNNNNNNNNNNNNNNNNNNNNNNNNNNNNNNNNNNNNNNNNNNUAAUUCCGCUACCCAUUAUUUUCCUCCCGGCGCGCCGUCGUGUGUCAGGUGGGCAGCCGUGGCUGUGCGCGGCCGCCGCUCAUUCUCGCUCGCCGGCGUCGGAAGCGCCCGUGCUUAUCUCCGUCCUCGCUGCUUCGCGGGCCGAGCAGGUGCGCUCAGAUUUCUCCCGCUCUACUGUACUGUAAACUGUAUCGACAAUUCAGGUAUAUAUGGGCUUAACUGACAUAGUGACAUUGGAAUUAGGCAUUGCCAGGAUUAGUUCCUGAGCAUUGCUCGUCACAGCUUAUUGUUUCGGACGGCGAUGUGCGCGCUGAUUUAUCCGAAUUGCGUGGUUAGUUUCGUCUCUAAAUACAGAAAAUGGCCAUACAUCUGAAGAAGCACGCCUGUUUCGCAGUGACUCGUACGUAGCUAAUUACUUGGAGUAUGUUAGGAACUGUGUAAUGGUUGGUGCAGGGGUAGCAACCCUUUUAAGAAUAUAUAUAUAGAGUUGUUACUACAAAUAGUUUUUCUAUAAGUGGGGGAAAUCUGUACCACAAUUAGCAUUGUUUGGUAUAUUCUGACUGCAGUGUAGUGGUUGCACACAUCGUUUCAUCUCAUUUCUACCAUGUCAGAUGUGCAACCGUUUCACACUGGCUCUAUCUUAAUUUUAGUCUUCUUCAGGCAGCUAAAACCGUCAAAGUGAAUGUCGCUGAUCGCAAUUUAGUGAAUUGGCCAAACCACUGGCUCAGUUCUUGCACCAGGAUCUGCUGAAAAAUUGGUUAUGCCUAAUCAAAGAACUUAAGUCAAUCUCAUUCAAGAACAUCAUAUGAUGUUACGUCCUUCCUAUAUGUGCUGUACAUUACAAACAGAGAUACCAUACAAGGCCUGCGGCGCCUCCAUCUGCAUCCCUACAAACCUUGCUGGCUUGUUUUACCAUCUGCUCGUCUCAGAAGCCAUUUUAGCUAUCCUCUACUUGUUUUUCCUCAAACCCGCUUAGGCUAAUUUCAGCUUCUCUUAGGCUAAUUCCUUUGUCGUAGUUGGGAACUGAUAUAGGUAGAGGCUCAAUGUCAUCUGGAGGGUCAUAGUUUGGAUCAGCAAGAAAUGUAAGGGCCGUCACCACAUCACUGAUUAGUGGACGACUGAUUGCUUCUUCUUGUAGGCACAUUGAUGAAAUUGCAAGUGCCUGGUAUAGACCUUUCAGGGGGUACUUGCUGUCAAGCAGUGGAUCAGCCAUCUUGGUAAACUUCUUCUUAUCCUUGAAGAGUGGUGCUGCCUGCAGAUAUAGCAACAUCUUAAUCCCAAACCGCAUGGGCAAUCUUUAUAUCUGAAGUAUGAGCUAUUUUAUUUGAUUAUUACAAUCCAAUAUGACUACUAAGUUAAAAAUUUAAGGCUAUAAUAUUUCUUGAUAAAGUAGAUGUAAAUCUUACCCAGUGGACAAGAAUUUGCUCGCGAGUCGGUUUCGUGGUGUCAAUUGCUCGCCUCCCGGUGAUGAGCUCCAAGAGAACUACACCAAAGCAAUAUAUGUCUGACAUCUUUGUUAACUUGCCACUCAUGGCGUACUCGGGAGCGCAGUACCCGUACGUGCCCAUCACCCUUGUGGUGACAUGAGUUUUGUCGCCGACUGGACCAAGCUUUGCAAGUCCAAAAUCUGCCAACUUUGCACUGAAGUUCCCGUCCAAGAGAAUAUUUGAUGCCUUGAGAUCGCGGUAUACCACCGGCGGAUUGGCCACCUCAUGCAAGUACUCGAGGCCUCUGGCAGCAUCAACUGCAAUCUUCAUCCGUGUAUGCCAGGACAGCGGCUGAGAUUUUGGAGUGAGAUCUGCAGAAUUCAAUUACCAAAUCACCGUCAAUACAAGAUCAUAAUUUCUGAUCUUUCGAUUCCAUGGAAUAUGUUUGAGGACCACAGCAUUGUGGUUCUGUAUUACUACCUAGGAGAUGAUCUUGCAAAGAACCGAGUGGCAUAUACUCGUACACUAGAAUCUUUUGGUCACAUUCGGUGCAGUACCCAAGCAAGGUGACAAGGUUUGGGUGAUGAAGGAGGCUCAGCAUCAGCACCUCGACAAGGAACUCACGGUUCCCUUGCAACCCAUCCUUGUCCAGCUGCUUAACCGCUAUGACCUACGUAUGCACAUAAUUUACAUCAGAAACGUGUUGCUGCUGUAUGUGGCAUAGCAUCUUGAGGUGCCAACUUAAUGAAACAUAGAAUAGGAAGCUGGGAGAAGGAAUGCUUAUUACUUCCAUGGUCUCCGGAAUGUAUCCUCUGUACACCCUCCCAAAGCCACCUUCUCCCAGGAGAUUCUCCUGGCUGAAAGAAUUGGUCGCGUCUGACAGCUGACUGUGCGUAAACACUCUGCUAGGAAUGUUGUGGUUGCCGAUCCGUAGUAUUUCCCCUGCCGCAGCCCUGGCCUUGGGACUAUCUGCAUUUAAUAUUUCCGCUCAGUCAAAAAUGCUUAGUUAAUCGCAGAAACAUGAAUUUCUAAUCCAGGAUUACAAAUUUCAGGGUGAAAGUAGGUCCAAGAAGAGGGCAAUGCACAGACAACUUCCGUGAACAUUACUAAUUUGUUGUUACUAUGUGUUUGAACAAAAAAAAAUCUCACCGCCAGAUUUCUUAAGUAAGUACCUGAAUGCUCUUCAUAUGUCUGUGUUGGGCAAAUAUUCAUUGAUAAAUUGAUAUUGACAUGCAUUGCUGAAUUUAGUUUCGCUGCAAAGAUGGAUAAUGAGAUGAUGGAAGGCAUUACUUGCGAGUGAAAUCUCUUUCACAAGGGUGGCCAACUGUUCGUUCUUGGCCUUUUUCUUUUUCCAAAUCUUGUUCUUGAACCACCUUUUCUUGUCUGGCUCGGAGCUCGCUGCCACAUUCUUCCGCUUCUUCUUUGUCUCUGAUGUUAACGGCUCCUCAGCUUCAUGUGACGCCAUGCCACAAAAACCGCGCCCCCAUUUCCUCUUUGUUUUCUUUGUCUCCGACGUCGAUGUCUCUUGCCCAGCCUCCCUCUUCGUCCUGCCGCAGACACCGCGGAUCCAUGAACAGCAGCACGCGCAGCUCAAGAUGCGCAUGCUGCUGCAUCUCACGGCGCGAAGACCACGCACCCACGAGCAGCAGCACCCCAUCGAACUGCAGCGAAGACCACGCGCCCACGAGCAGCAGCACCCCAUCGAAUUGCCGCGAAGACCACGCGCCCACGAGCAGCAACACCCCAUCGAAUUGCUGGAUCGACGCGAGAGUGGGCUAGUACUCUCGUGCCGAUCAUUACGAUCACCGGAUUAGAAUUUUCACCGGCGGUAAGAAGGAGCGGCAGGAGGCACAGGUGAGCGCACAAUUUUUCUCUCUAUCCCUAGUCUCUCUCACCCGAAGGAUGCGGCGGUUUCCUUUUCCCUUGGAGGCUUGCUUGGAUGAUGAUAGGUCUGAAGCCAAGUAGCCAUUUUUGGACUGUUCUUUUUUCCUUCUAAUUGUUGUCAUUUUUAGCUAGGGAUAUUGCCACGCCCUCCUUUUCGCAUGCAAAAUAUAGGCGUCUGUUCGCAUUCAGUGGCUGACAAUGAGCUGAGACAUGUAGCGCAUACUAUAUAUAGCACCAGUUUUGUUCUUUUUUUGGAUGGAGAAGCUUUCCGUUUUGCAUUAUUGUUGGGUUUUACCCUAGUUACAUGAAAAACUGCAAGCACACGUCACGUUUAUUGUAUAACUAAGGUGCAUGCAUGCCCAAGCACCAUGCGAGCUGCCAGAGUUCUACUACUGGCUGGCCAACAGGCCGCCGCCGCCCUCCAGCCGACACAUUGCCGGCAGCUGCGCCGCGAGCUGCUGCGCCUUUGCUACCUUUAGGCUGGCCGACGGCUGCUCCACGCUAACAUGGUAUGGGCUGCCGUAGUACAACUCGUUGGACUGCUGACCAUGGUGCAGAGACACGGUGGUUUGCUGGCCAGGGAAACCGCAAGGCUGCUCGCCGGGCUGCUGACCCUGAUGAGGGGAGACGGUGGUUUGCUGACCCUGAUGAGGGNNN